rnacentral:rRNA from 1 species
AACGAACGCUGGCGGCAGGCUUAACACAUGCAAGUCGAACGAACUCUUCGGAGUUAGUGGCAGACGGGUGAGUAACGCGUGGGAACCUACCUUUAGGUACGGAACAACAGUUGGAAACGACUGCUAAUACCGUAUGUGCCCUAUGGGGGAAAGAUUUAUCGCCUAAGGAUGGGCCCGCGUUGGAUUAGCUAGUUGGUGGGGUAAAGGCCUACCAAGGCGACGAUCCAUAGCUGGUCUGAGAGGAUGAUCAGCCACACUGGGACUGAGACACGGCCCAGACUCCUACGGGAGGCAGCAGUGGGGAAUAUUGGACAAUGGGCGCAAGCCUGAUCCAGCCAUGCCGCGUGAGUGAUGAAGGCCCUAGGGUUGUAAAGCUCUUUCAGCGAGGAGGAUAAUGACGUUACUCGCAGAAGAAGCCCCGGCUAACUUCGUGCCAGCAGCCGCGGUAA